AGGAAGUAAUAAUAAAAUAAACCUAUUUAUACCGGCGGCAUUUCAUCUAAUUAGAGGAACCUGUCAUAUAAUCGAUAAUCCACGAUAAAUCUUACUUACAUCAAAAAUUUAUAUAUCGCCAUCUAAAGAGUUAAUACAAUAAUAUAUUACUCUAAAUAAAAAAUAAAAAGUUAGGUCAAGGUGUAGUUUAUAUAUAAGUUUAGAUGGGUUACAUUAAAAUAAAUUUAAGGAUUAAAGUUAUAAAACCUUUAGAAAAAGGAUUUAAUAGUAAUAUAAUUAAUAAUAUUUUCAUAUGAAAAAGAUAAUAAAUGUGC
rnacentral:rRNA from 1 species